rnacentral:rRNA from 1 species
CAGUGGGGAAUAUUGCACAAUGGGCGAAAGCCUGAUGCAGCGACGCCGCGUGAGGGAUGAAGGCCUUCGGGUUGUAAACCUCUUUCAGCAGGGAAGAAGCGAAAGUGACGGUACCUGCAGAAGAAGCGCCGGCUAACUACGUGCCAGCAGCCGCGGUAAUACGUAGGGCGCAAGCGUUGUCCGGAAUUAUUGGGCGUAAAGAGCUCGUAGGCGGUUUGUCGCGUCUGCUGUGAAAACCCGAGGCUCAACCUCGGGCCUGCAGUGGGUACGGGCAGACUAGAGUGUGGUAGGGGAGACCGGAAUUCCUGGUGUAGCGGUGGAAUGCGCAGAUAUCAGGAGGAACACCGAUGGCGAAGGCAGGUCUCUGGGCCACAACUGACGCUGAGGAGCGAAAGCAUGGGGAGCGAACAGGAUUAGAUACCCUGGUAGUCCAUGCCGUAAACGUUGGGCACUAGGUGUGGGGCUCAUUCCACGAGUUCCGUGCCGCAGCAAACGCAUUAAGUGCCCCGCCUGGGGAGUACGGCCGCAAGGCUAAAACUCAAAG